rnacentral:sRNA from 1 species
CAUUUUUAAGGAUUUCAAAGAGACAGAAAUUAAUACAGGUAUUCUAAAAUCCUGUGUGCCACAAAAUGCACUUAUUAACUGAAAUUCAGAAUAUUACGCAUUACUUUAUGAUUCUUAGGAGUUUGUAUAUAGUUAUUGGAAGUCAUUCUGAUUUCAUUGUCUUUUUUCCAUUGCUCUCUUUUCUCUUACUUGAGUAGACCAUGUCUGGACAGAAGUCUAUUCUCCUUCUCAGCAGCGGUGGCUGCACUGUGAUGCAUGUGAAGAUGUCUGUGACAAGCCACUCCUUUAUGAAAUAGGAUGGGGCAAGAAGCUUUCCUAUGUCAUAGCAUUUUCAAAAGAUGAGGUAGGGCAUAAAAGAAAAAAACUUUUUUCCAAAAGUAAAAUAUAUAUAUAUUUUUGACAGUUUUAUGAAUGUAUAAUUAAUGUACAAUAACCUGCAUAUAUUUAAAUUGUACAGUUUGAUAAGUUUUAUUUGUAUACACUGAAAUCAUCAUUGCAAAUCAGUAUUCAUUGUAUGGAUGUGCCAUAGUUUACCAUUUCACCUGUUGAUGGAUAUUUGGGUAGUUCCCAGUUUUUUUCACGAUUUCAAAUUAAGCUGCCAUGAACAUUCAGGCACACAAGUCUUUAUAUGGGCAUAUGCUGCCUUUUCUCUUUACUUAAUGCCUAGGAGUAGAAUGGCUGCAUUAUAUGGUAGACAUACAUACAACUUUUUAAGAAACCACUAAACUAUUUUCCAACGUGAUUGUGCCAUUUUACAUUUUCGCAAGCAGUAUGUGAGUUUCCAGUUUCUCCAUGUCCUUGCUAACAUUUAGUGUGAUCUGACUUUUUAAUUUUAUCCCCUUUAAUAGGUGUGUAGUGGCAUUUCAUUAUGGUUUUUAUUUGUACUUCCCUAAUGACAAAUAAUAUUGAGCAUCUUUUUAUGUGUUUGCUUACCAUCCAUAUGUCCCCUUUGCUUGUUUGUUUUUAAUUGGGUAUUGUGUUUUCUUACUGUUGGGUUUUGAGAGUUCUUUAUGUAUUCUUAUGUAAGUCCAUUAUCAGAUAUGUGCCUUGCAAAGAUUUUUCUCCCUGUCUGUAGUUUGUCUUUUCAUGCUCUUAAUAACUUUUGAAGAGAAGAAACUGGUGUUCAGUUUACCAAUUUGUUGUUUUAUGGAUUGUGCUUUUUGAUGUUAUAUUUAAGAAAUUUUGCCUAGCCCUUGGUCACAAUGAUUUUCUCUUAUGUUUUGUUUUAGAAGUUUUACAUUUUUAGUUUUACACUUAUGUCUGUGAUCCAUUUUGAGUUAAUUUUUUUAUAUGAUCCAAGGUAUGAAGUUUUUUUUUACAUAUGGGUAAUGAAUUGUUCUAGCACCAUUUAUUGAAAAGAUUAUUUUUUCUCCAUUGAAUUAUCUUUCCACUAGUAUCAAAAAUCAGUUCUAUAAUAUACAUCUAAUACAAUAAAAAUGGAUAAAAUUUUUAUUUGUUGAAUUUUGUGGAAUCAGCUUUGCAGAUAAAUUUUAAAAAAGUAAUGUUUUGAAAUUUUCACUUUUUUAUCAUAGCAUUUCUGGUUAACUAUCAACUGUUAGGAAUGAAUAAGUGACGUAUUCUCUUCCGUUUAUUUUAUAGGCUUUUAGGUUUUAUUUUAUUUUAUUUUAUUUUAAUUUUUCGAGACAGUCUCACCCUCUUGCCCAGGCUGGAGUGCAGCUGCAUGAUCCCGGCUCACUGCAACCUCUGCCUCCCAGGUUCAAGUGAUUCUCCUGCCUCAGCCUCCUGAGUAACGGGGAUUACAAGCACAUGCCACCACACCUGGCUAAUUUUUUUUGUAUUUUUUUUUAGUGGAGAUGGGGUUUCACCAUGUUGGCCAGGCUGGUCUCAAACUCCUGACCUCAGGUGAUCUGCUCACCUCAGCCUCCCAAAGUGCUGAGAUUACAAGCAUGAGCCACUGCACCAGGCCCCAUGACUUUUAAAUUUUAAACAAAGGAUAGUAUUCUAAAAAUUGCAUUUAAGGCUGGGCAUGGUGGCUCAUGCUUAUAAUCCCAGCACUUUGGGAGGCCAAGGUGGGUGGAUCACCUGAAGUCAGGAGUUCAAGACCAGCCUGGCCAACUUGGUGAAACCCCGUUUCUACUUAAAACAAUACAAAAAUUAGCCAGGCGUGAUGGUGCAUGCCUGUAGUCCCAGCUACUCGGGAGGCUGAGAUACGAGAAUCGCUUGACCCUGGGAAGUGAGACUGCAGUGAGCUGAGAUCACGCCACUGCACUCUAGUCUGGACAACAGAGCGAGACUUCGUCUCCAAAAAAAUGCAUUUAAAAAUUACAUACAUUCUAGGUAUUUAGUAAAUAAAGGUUGAUGGUUGUAAUCUUGUUAAGUAUUUGUGUUCUGUUAUUUGUUUCAGGUAGUUGAUGUCACUUGGCGAUAUUCCUGCAAACAUGAAGAGGUGAUUGCCAGAAGAACUAAGGUUAAAGAAGCAUUACUUCGAGAAACUAUUAAUGGGCUUAAUAAGCAGAGAAAAGAAACCUCAUUUAUUCCCUGUGAAAAUGAGAAGAUUUCUAAACAGCUCCACCUUUGUUAUAAUAUUGUGAAAGAUUGUUAUGUUCGAGUUUCAAAUAACAAUGAAACCAUUUCUGGAUGGGAGAAUGGUGUGUGGAAAAUGGAAUCUAUAUUCAGAAAAGUUGAAACAGACUGGCACAUGGUAUAUUUGGCACGAAAGGAAGGAUCAUCUUUUUCUUAUAUUUCCUGGAAGUUUGAGUGUGGGUCUGUUCGCCUAAAAGUAGAUAGCAUUUCUAUUAGAACAAGUAGUCAAACUUUUCAGACUGGAACAAUAGAAUGGAAAUUGCGAUCUGAUACAGCACGAGUAGAACUGACAGGCGAUAACAGUCUUCACUCCUAUGCUGAUUUUUCUGGUGCCACUGAAGUUAUUUUGGAAGCAGAAUUAAGCAGAGGAGAUGGUGAUGUCGCUUGGCAACACACCCAGCUGUUUAGACAAAGCUUAAAUGACCAUGAAGAAGAUUGUUUGGAGAUAAUUAUAAAAUUCAGUGACCUUUGAGAACCUGAACAUUAUAGAAAAGCUGGCAAUAAUCAAGGACUUACUAAAGUAGUCUGUUGGUUCAGUGCAUGCUUAGUUGGCAGUUACCACCCUGUGCUAGCAUAUUUCUUUUGCUAGCUAUCCAUCAUGUAACCCUUAUGAAAAUUAUCUUUAUAUGUGGACUAUAAUAAAAUAUUGAAUU